GGCAUACUUCUCAGCUCACUCCAACAUCUAAGCAAAGUCUCUAGGGUACAUCUUCUUAAGCAAGAAGAGGAGGUCAUUUUGGAGUAGUUCAGCUUUAAGAGCUAUCAUGGCCACCGACUGGUCCAACUUUCGUACUUCUAGAGUUAUGAUUUUAAAAUAGUUGAUAUGAUCUCGAAGAGGCUCAUUUUCUUGUUAUUUGAUACUAACGAGAGAGUUCAAAUUUCAGCAUUGUUAGCAACUGCUGAUGAAGUGAGAAACAAAUGGCCGACUGAG
rnacentral:lncRNA from 1 species